rnacentral:rRNA from 2 species
AUAAUGCAAGUCGAGCGGACAGAUGGGAGCUUGCUCCCUGAUGUUAGCGGCGGACGGGUGAGUAACACGUGGGUAACCUGCCUGUAAGACUGGGAUAACUCCGGGAAACCGGGGCUAAUACCGGAUGGUUGUUUGAACCGCAUGGUUCAAACAUAAAAGGUGGCUUCGGCUACCACUUACAGAUGGACCCGCGGCGCAUUAGCUAGUUGGUGAGGUAACGGCUCACCAAGGCAACGAUGCGUAGCCGACCUGAGAGGGUGAUCGGCCACACUGGGACUGAGACACGGCCCAGACUCCUACGGGAGGCAGCAGUAGGGAAUCUUCCGCAAUGGACGAAAGUCUGACGGAGCAACGCCGCGUGAGUGAUGAAGGUUUUCGGAUCGUAAAGCUCUGUUGUUAGGGAAGAACAAGUACCGUUCGAAUAGGGCGGUACCUUGACGGUACCUAACCAGAAAGCCACGGCUAACUACGUGCCAGCAGCCGCGGUAAUACGUAGGUGGCAAGCGUUGUCCGGAAUUAUUGGGCGUAAAGGGCUCGCAGGCGGUUUCUUAAGUCUGAUGUGAAAGCCCCCGGCUCAACCGGGGAGGGUCAUUGGAAACUGGGGAACUUGAGUGCAGAAGAGGAGAGUGGAAUUCCACGUGUAGCGGUGAAAUGCGUAGAGAUGUGGAGGAACACCAGUGGCGAAGGCGACUCUCUGGUCUGU